rnacentral:lncRNA from 1 species
UUCCUUUUUAUAUGCAGGCUACAACAGAGCUCCUAGCCGAAGCUCAUCCAGGAGCGACACCACUAGCUGCUCGAACAAAUCAAACGAGGGUGCACCGGCCUCCAGCACGAAGCCUGCGAUUUGAGGCAGUCCUUUGCACUCCACCUCAUGCCCGUGCAUUGUUGGUACGCGUAUUUGAGCUCGAGUGUAUGCGCACCUCUGCAACCCCAUAACUAGAGACCGAAAUCAAGGGAUUUGAUUGGUGAGUGAUGGAAAAAAGGAGAGGAAUAGCAGCAGGAAUAGAAGGAUUUCGGUUCCAGUAGCAAAAGUCAAUCCUUAAUCAUCGUAGAGAGCAAGCUGGACAAGGAGGCAGGAAGCAUAGAAGUUGGGGAAGAGAGAUCCAUGUGUUGGCGAGUGCUAGCUGGGUGUGUGACUCCUGUUUGAGAGAGAGGGAGGACCUUUGCUGGGCACUCAAAGGAUGUGCUCGGAUAUGGUGGUCCAACUGCAAGGUAAUGCUAACACAUCUUGUUACUCUUUCUUCAAUUUUGAUAGGUUUACGACAGUUCCAUUCAAGCACAAAUAUGUUUAUGACAUUAAUUCAAAGUUGUAAAAUACAUAUGUUUAUAAUAGUUUAAUUAUUCUUACAUGAUUUUCACAUAUAUGUGUUGCUUUAGCCAAAAAAAUGUGCAGUGAACUUGUUACAUAGGACACCCUAGGUAUCGCCACUGGCAUCGACUAGACGACGCCCAUCACUGACACACUCUUGUCUUGGUAGCAUUGGCCCAGCUCAUUGACACACUUUAAUGGAAAUAUAAAGCCAUGGCUUGAUGUUGCUUUCAACAAGUAUAAUGCUCUGUGAACUAAGCAUGUAGAGACUGAAAUGGAAUUUGUGACACUAUGUAAUUUUAUAUCUGAAGUGAUUGAAGAAAUGCUCCACGAAUAAGGUAUCCACUCAUAUAUGUUCAACAUCAUGUACUUAAGCCAAUGCUAUUUUUAGGCUUGCUGACUUGCUUUAUUCAUGAUCGAUGAGCUUUAUUACUUAGCAUGUAACCUUCCCAGUUUAUUUACUAAUCCUCCAUCUUUUUUUAGUUAUGUGUACAUCCUUCCAUUCAAGUAUGGAAACAGGCAAUUCCAGCCAUCAACAGUUGCCGCACCUGCCAACAUUAAAGAAAUUAUGUAGGCCUUAUGUAGUUGUUUUAGCUUUCUCUUGACAUACUUUAUAUAUGUUCAUGAUAAGUUGGGAUGGAGGAUUAUCAGUGUAAUAUGCACUUGCCUUUGUUAAAGCAAUCGGAUAUAGACCUGUCUGUGAGAUCUUUAGAGAUCAUUUAAGAACAUGUAUGUUUAAGCCUAUGAACAGAGACAAAGCCAAAUAUGUGCUGCAAAAUGUUCCAGUUUGCAGCCAAAUAUAUAUGCAAGAACUGUUACCUA